rnacentral:rRNA from 1 species
AGUGAACGCUGGCGGUAGGCCUAACACAUGCAAGUCGAACGGCAGCACAGUAAGAGCUUGCUCUUACGGGUGGCGAGUGGCGGACGGGUGAGGAAUACAUCGGAAUCUACUUUUUCGUGGGGGAUGACGUAGGGAAACUUACGCUAAUACCGCAUACGACCUACGGGUGAAAGCAGGGGAUCUUCGGACCUUGCGCGAUUGAAUGAGCCGAUGUCGGAUUAGCUAGUUGGCGGGGUAAAGGCCCACCAAGGCGACGAUCCGUAGCUGGUCUGAGAGGAUGAUCAGCCACACUGGAACUGAGACACGGUCCAGACUCCUACGGGAGGCAGCAGUGGGGAAUAUUGGACAAUGGGCGCGAGCCUGAUCCAGCCAUACCGCGUGGGUGAAGAAGGCCUUCGGGUUGUAAAGCCCUUUUGUUGGGAAAGAAAAGCAGCAGGUUAAUACCCCGCUGUUCUGACGGUACCCAAAGAAUAAGCACCGGCUAACUUCGUG